rnacentral:rRNA from 1 species
CCUACGGGAGGCAGCAGUGAGGAAUAUUGGUCAAUGGUCGGGAGACUGAACCAGCCAAGCCGCGUGAGUGAUGAAGGUACAGAGUAUCGUAAACCUCUUUUGUCAGGGAACAAAGGCGGGGACGUGUCCCCGGAUGAGUGUACCUGAAGAAAAAGCAUCGGCUAACUCGGUGCCAGCAGCCGCGGUAAUUCGGGGGAUGCGAAGGUUAUCCGGAUUGAUUGGGUUUAAGGGGUGCGCAGGCGGUCUGUUAAGUCAGCGGUCAAAGCCCGGGGCUCAACCCCGGCCCGCCGUUGAAACUGGCAGUCUCGAGUUGGAGAGAAGUAGGCGGAAUGCGCGGUGUAGCGGUGAAAUGCGUAGAUAUCGGGCAGAACUCCGAUUGCGAAGGCAGCAUGCCGGCUCCACACUGACGCUGAGGCACGAAAGCGUGGGGAGCGAACAGGAGUAGAUACCCCAGUAGUC